AGAGUUUGAUCCUGGCUCAGGAUGAACGCUGGCGGCGUGCUUAACACAUGCAAGUCGAACGAUCCUUCGGGAUAGUGGCGGACGGGUGAGUAACGCGUGGGAAUCUGCCCUCAGGAGGGGGAUAACGGCUGGAAACGGCCGCUAAUACCCCAUAUGCCGAGAGGUGAAAUGAAUUUCGCCUGAGGAUGAGCCCGCGUCUGAUUAGCUAGUUGGUGGGGUAACGGCCCACCAAGGCGACGAUCAGUAGCUGGUCUGAGAGGAUGAUCAGCCACACUGGGACUGAGACACGGCCCAGACUCCUACGGGAGGCAGCAGUGGGGAAUUUUCCGCAAUGGGCGAAAGCCUGACGGAGCAACGCCGCGUGAGGGAUGAAGGCCUCUGGGCUGUAAACCUCUUUUCUCAAGGAAGAAGACCUGACGGUACUUGAGGAAUAAGCCACGGCUAAUUCCGUGCCAGCAGCCGCGGUAAUACGGGAGUGGCAAGCGUUAUCCGGAAUUAUUGGGCGUAAAGCGUCCGCAGGCGGCUUUGUAAGUCUGUUGUUAAAGCGUGGAGCUUAACUCCAUUUAAGCAAUGGAAACUACAAGGCUGGAGUGUGGUAGGGGCAGAGGGAAUUCCCGGUGUAGCGGUGAAAUGCGUAGAUAUCGGGAAGAACACCAGUGGCGAAGGCGCUCUGCUGGGCCAUAACUGACGCUCAUGGACGAAAGCCAGGGGAGCGAAAGGGAUUAGAUACCCCUGUAGUCCUGGCCGUAAACGAUGAACACUAGGUGUCGGGGGAAUCGACCCCCUCGGUGUCGUAGCCAACGCGUUAAGUGUUCCGCCUGGGGAGUACGCACGCAAGUGUGAAACUCAAAGGAAUUGACGGGGGCCCGCACAAGCGGUGGAGUAUGUGGUUUAAUUCGAUGCAACGCGAAGAACCUUACCAGGGUUUGACAUCCUGCGAACCCCUGAGAAAUCGGGGGGUGCCUUCGGGAGCGCAGAGACAGGUGGUGCAUGGCUGUCGUCAGCUCGUGUCGUGAGAUGUUGGGUUAAGUCCCGCAACGAGCGCAACCCACGUCUUUAGUUGCCAGCAUUCAGUUGGGCACUCUAGAGAGACCGCCGGUGAUAAACCGGAGGAAGGUGUGGAUGACGUCAAGUCAUCAUGCCCCUUACAUCCUGGGCUACACACGUACUACAAUGCUACGGACAAAGGGCAGCAAGCUCGCGAGAGUUAGCAAAUCCCAUAAACCGUGGCUCAGUUCAGAUCGUAGGCUGCAACUCGCCUACGUGAAGGAGGAAUCGCUAGUAAUCGCAGGUCAGCAUACUGCGGUGAAUACGUUCCCGGGCCUUGUACACACCGCCCGUCACACCAUGGAAGUUGGCCAUGCCCGAAGUCGUUACUCCAACCCUUGUGGAGGAGGACGCCGAAGGUGGGGCUGAUGACUGGGGUGAAGUCGUAACAAGGUA
rnacentral:rRNA from 1 species